GUGUUACUCCCUCCGUUCCGAAUUACUUGUCUUGGAUUUGUCUAGAUACGGAGGUAUCUAGCACUAAAAUGAGUCUAGAUACAUCCGUAUCUAGACAAAUCCAAGACAAGUAAUUCGGAACGGAGGAAGUAGAUG
rnacentral:pre_miRNA from 1 species